rnacentral:rRNA from 1 species
UGGGGAAUUUUGGACAAUGGGCGAAAGCCUGAUCCAGCAAUGCCGCGUGUGUGAAGAAGGCCUUCGGGUUGUAAAGCACUUUUGUCCGGAAAGAAAUCCUUGGCUCUAAUACAGUCGGGGGAUGACGGUACCGGAAGAAUAAGCACCGGCUAACUACGUGCCAGCAGCCGCGGUAAUACGUAGGGUGCAAGCGUUAAUCGGAAUUACUGGGCGUAAAGCGUGCGCAGGCGGUUUGCUAAGACCGAUGUGAAAUCCCCGGGCUCAACCUGGGAACUGCAUUGGUGACUGGCAGGCUAGAGUAUGGCAGAGGGGGGUAGAAUUCCACGUGUAGCAGUGAAAUGCGUAGAGAUGUGGAGGAAUACCGAUGGCGAAGGCAGCCCCCUGGGCCAAUACUGACGCUCAUGCACGAAAGCGUGGGGAGCAAACAGGAUUAGAUACCCUGGUAGUCCACGCCCUAAACGAUGUCAACUAGUUGUUGGGGACUUCAUUUCCUUAGUAACGUAGCUAACGCGUGAAGUUGACCGCCUGGGGAGUACGGUCGCAAGAUUAAAACUCAAAGGAAUUGACGGGGUCAUA